UCAUCUUGGAAUCAGGAGUGACCAGAUACAGGAUGAAGCUGAGGCUGAGGGAGGCAAAGACAAACAAGACAGUAGGAGUCCAUAACACCUCUGAGCCACUCGUAUACUACAUCAUCUCAUGAGAGGCACCGAGAGAAGAAUGAAUGUGAAAAUACCUUCAAAGGAGGAAAACAAUUGUAAGGAAUGGUGAGAAGCUACUUUUUUCCCAAGGAAUACUGCCUGUGAAGACAAGCAAUUGGAACUGGAUGGAGUUACCACAAGCACAUCAAAACUAACAAGUACAGAAAUGAGGGAUAAAAGGAGUUAUACACACUGACUCUUACCUAAUUUAAAACCAACACAACAUAGAAAAUAAACAGCUGGAUCUUGUUUGGAAAGAUAAGCAAAUAAAUGCCCCCAUCUUCCAUAUGAUAUCUUAGCAUGUAAGCUAUAAAAUAUUCAACUAUGUUGAAAACAUUCAACUAAAUCAGAGUUUAACUAUGAUUUUUCACUUUAUGAAGCUGUGGUACAUAAAAUAAAACAUAUAAAAAUCUAAUCCCAAACCUUGCUUUCCUUAUCAUAAUAUGCAUACAAUGAAACUUCAAAUAUUAAUUUUAGGAAAAAAGGGCUUUUGCAAAUCUGAAUUUAUAAAUAAUUUCAAAAUGGAAGUCAGAUCAAAUUACAGCUCCAAAUCACCAGAUUAGCAUGGAUCAUUAGUAUCCAAAAGAAAGCUAAAUCUACCACAAAUCACAUCUACCAAUCACUUUUACCAUCUACAUCUCUGACCCAUAGCCAGCCUGUGAAUAUUUUCAGCACUGAAUAACUGAGCUCCAAAGCUCUAACUUCAUUCAUACUCCUAUCGGUCCCACAGAUAUAGUGGACCCUUUAACAACAUGGGUUUGAACUGUGGGUUGACUUGCAUGUGUUUUGUUUUGUUUUUUCCAAUAAAUACAGUACAGAUAAAU